AUACGGAGGGAGCGAGCGUUAAUCGGAAUUACUGGGCGUAAAGCGCGCGUAGGCGGCUUUGUAAGUCGGAUGUGAAAGCCCUGGGCUCAACCUGGGUAUGGCAUUCGAUACUGCAGAGCUAGAGUAUGGUAGAGGGAAGUGGAAUUUCCGGUGUAGCGGUGAAAUGCGUAGAUAUCGGAAGGAACACCAGUGGCGAAGGCGACUUCCUGGGCCAAUACUGACGCUGAGGUGCGAAAGCGUGGGGAGCAAACAGGAUUAGAAACCCCGGUAGUCC
rnacentral:rRNA from 1 species